rnacentral:misc_RNA from 1 species
AGAGACACGAGCCGUCGCGACGACGCAAACGGAGCACUUCGACGUGCAAUUCUCACGUGCAUUUCACUCGUUACGUGACGUGAUCAGCAACGCAAAAUCGCAGCGUUUGAAGAUUUUGAUUUUCAUUGAACUUCGACGAACAUUCGACCAUCGAGACUGAGGAAAAAUUUGGAAAAACUGGAGCACAUUUUGUGUCGCAGUAGCAGCAGCAGCAGCAGACUUCCUUCGUCAAGCGUGGCAGUUGCUGAAGAGAUUCUUACAAAUCGGAAAAUUUCGCGAUAAAUUGGAAAACGUAGAACGUAUACAGCAAACAACGCUAGAUUUUCUGAGCAAACGGUCGAGCAGGAAGUCGAGCCGAGAAACGUCCUCGAGAGGCAUUCUUUGAGAAGCCGGCACGUGGCAGUGCUAACGACGACAGACAUACCGGCACCGCGUCGUGACGUUCGCGGGCAUUCGGCAGAAAACGCGAGCGAAACAAAAGAGAAAAGAGACAAAAUCAUCUUCUCACAGACCAGCGUGCAGAAGGAGGAGCUUUCGAGGUCGCGCCGCGCGAAAGGCCACGAUAUCAGAGAUAACGUUUCGAAAACUAAUUAAUCCGCGCGGCAAGCAGACUCGUCGCUCGUGUCUGUCGAGACGACGCUGGCAGUCGUAGCCGUCGACUGCCAGUCGCGAACUACGCCAAGUUGCACACUACUGCAGCUGUCGUCGCAUCGUAUCGUCAAACAGUUCCAUUCCGGAGUGGACCCUGAUCUCCGUAGAUGACCGUGGAAAUUUUCAACGUCUCGGAAGCAAGACUCGCGAUUUUCGUACAAUAUACUUUCCACAAAAGCAUUUAAAUCGUAAGAUACGUGCAGCUGGCUGAUCAACAUCGUGACGUCACAACUGAUAACCGACACAAAUAAGCUACUCGAAGCUGCUCUCCUUUUCGAACUUGCAACGUCUGCAGCUGGGAGAUAAAAUAGAGGACGGACUUUCCGAGAUAAAUUAGGAGGCUAUCGGAAGCGAGCGCGGAGCUGCAGCUGAUAAAUCAGAAAUUUCAGUCAUCCGCAAUGCAACGAGAAUCCUCAAUACAUUGAGAUCCUCAGGUGACAAUUGUGAAUCCGCGAGACAACGUAAUCAACACGAGGCAACGUUGGAGGAUAAAGGAUCGCGUCUCGUUGAUCAGCACUGAGUGGUUCCAAUUGAGAGUCGACCCUCGAGAGUGCAGCUCAUUGGCCAAGUUGUUAAUUCCUUGAGGCACGAUUGGAGUGGAUCACCCGCGGACAUUCCAGCGUUUGCGUUGAAACCGUCAAGUAAUCCAUCGGCUACCGUCUUGCCAGCCGGACUUUGCUUUUCUUCCUGCAGAAACUGCUUUUCAUAAGAACCCAACAAGAGUAUCAGGAUAGGAAGGAUUAAUUGCCUGUGGAUUUUUAGUGAAUAUUUACAGUGGAUUGCGAUAUUAUUCGGAAAACAGCUCUCGAAGGAAAACAUCUUGCAAAAUUCAAGCAGUGAAAUCAAGACAUCGCCGUGGUGAAUAAAUUUAAAGAUUACAACGAAGUAUUCAUUGACACAAGAAGAUAAGAUUGCUAUUCUGUUAUCGGGAAUCAUCAUCUUGAAGAUCGGGAGAUAUUUUUGACUACAUUUGACUCUCUCGACGACUGAAUGGCCCAUUUCUAUUGGCUGCUGCUUUUCGAAAGACUCUGGUAGUGUCUCUUUGUAGUGGAGUAACGGCAGGAACACGAUCCUGAAAAGGAGAAAGACGCGGGUGAUUGUGGAGAGGGUCAAGUCCCUUUGGUCCCGCCAGAAGAGCUUUCGUGCUGCUGAUUCUUCCUGAAGGACCAGACCUUCUUCCGCCGCCGUAAAGAUUUUUUGGGGAACGCGGCGAACGAAACCCGAGACACCACUGACGUCAGCCACGAAAGGCCUCGUUUAUCUCUCCCUGGCCCGGAUUUUUAUUUUGAACGGCAACAUGGAGCGAAGGAUUCUGAAAAUGUUGUGAUAACGGUCAGGCGAGGGCCUCCGAUACCCAAGACACUAUCCAGUGUGUGAGCUAUAGUCGUUAAAAAGCGAUCGAGAUAUCGUGACGUCAAGCCUUGUCACGCGAUUCGGAGACACCUGCUAAUUGGAGUCUUUCGAGUUUUUACGAGAAGCAAGCAGCUCCCGUUUGAAAAGAAUUACUCUUGUCUUCGACGCUUCGUCCGCCAUUUUCCAAUAAAUGAAGAAUUAAUCACGGUACACAACUCAGAUUCAAGUGUAAGAAAAAGUGCAAGCUUUUGAGUCACUUGUUCACAAUUUUCAACCACGAGAUCUUGAUAAGAUAAUCGAGGUGUCGCAUCACACGGAUACCCGUCUAUUUCGGGAAUGUUUUUGGAUCUACAAAACUGACAUUUACUUCUUCCGUUCUUCGCCACGAAGACGAUAUCUUUUUCGAGUAGGUUUUUGCGAGGGAGACGAGACACACCAGAGAGAAGACGUCGCUCGUUAAAACGUAGAAAAAGGAGAAGAUUCUUCGCCGAAACGGACAGCAAGGCUCCGACAGAAUUAAGAACAAGAUGCGUUGCAGCCAAGGCGUGGCAAUGAUAUUCGAGGACGCGUUCGUCGUCUUUUCGCGUUUUUUGUCACUCAAGUCGCGAGGCUGCGCACUCUUGGAAACGCACCGGCAGCGCGAGACCACUGGCAUCAAGAAAUUGUACAACAGCUUCUUCGUGAUGUUCUAAGAGAGGGCGAAACACCAGCGCGCGUACUCGGCCCUGAAAACCACCGGCGGUCGGGUGAUGUACCGUGUAUUUCCGGGCACAUCGACGAAGAUCUGUGGGCCGAGGGGGUACCCACGCACAACACUACCCGCGUACGAGCACUCGCGGUGAAAUGAGUGCUCCUCGCGGCUAGAGAGAGACAUCCCGGGACGAAGAUCGUCGAUCUGAGAUCUGAGAUCAGCGUGAACUUGUCGCCUCUUACAGACUCGUCAUCGAGGAAUCACGAGAAAUUUUUUUUUAUACAUACAUAUAACAUAUAAA